rnacentral:rRNA from 1 species
CUCGUAGGCGGCCAACUAAGUCAGACGUGAAAUCCCUCGGCUUAACCGGGGAACUGCGUCUGAUACUGGAUGGCUUGAGUUUGGGAGAGGGACGCGGAAUUCCAGGUGUAGCGGUGAAAUGCGUAGAUAUCUGGAGGAACACCGGUGGCGAAGGCGGCGUCCUGGACCAACACUGACACUGAGGAGCGAAAGCCAGGGGAGCAAACG